GAUGAAGAACGCAGCGAAAUGCGAAACGUAAUGUGAAUUGCAGAAUUCAGUGAAUCAUCGAAUCUUUGAACGCACAUUGCGCCCGCCAGCACUCUGGCGGGCAUGCCUGUUCGAGCGUCAUUUCAACCAUCAAGCCCCAGGCUUGCGUUGGAGCCCUGCGGCUGCCGCAGCCUCCUAAAAGCAGUGGCGGGCUCGCUAUCACACCGAGUGCAGUAGAUUACUCUUCGCUCAGGGCGUGCAGCGGGUUCCGGCCGUGAAACCCCCUACUUUUAAAGGUUGACCUCGGAUCAGGUAGGAAUACCCGCUGAACUUAAGCAUAUCAAUAAGCGGAGGA
rnacentral:misc_RNA from 1 species